UCGAAACCUGCAAGGCAGAACGACCCGUGAACAUGUAAAACAACUUGGUGCUGUUGAGAUUGGCUUUAGGUCUUGAUGAGCAGCACCUCCCGGUGUGUUUUCGUGGUGUCACCUCGUGGUGCCAUGGAUGUCCCAUCGGACUAUAUAACAAACCCCGGCACGGCAUGUGCCAAGGAAAACAAAAAAUGAGAAGGUUUAGACCUGUUUUGCCCUGUUUUUCGGUGUGCACACAUGCUCUAGCCUUCUUGAAAUUACAAACGACUCUCGGCAACGGAUAUCUCGGCUCACGCAUCGAUGAAGAACGUAGCAAAAUGCGAUACUUGGUGUGAAUUGCAGAAUCCCGUGAACCAUCGAGUUUUUGAACGCAAGUUGCGCCCGAAGUCAUCCGGCAAAGGGCACGUCUGCCUGGGCGUCACACAUUACGUCGCCCCCUCCAAAGAACCUUAAUGGGGUAAUCCUGGUCAUGGGGGCGGAAAUUGGCCUCCUGUUCUUGCGUGUGGUUGGCCUAAAUAGGAGUCUCCUUCGGUGGAUGCACAACUAGUGGUGGUUGAACAUACCCUCGUCUUGUUGUGUGUCGUUAGCUGUGAGGGAAGUCCACUUUUAUAACCCCACUGUAUCGUUAUAUGACGAUAUAUCGAC
rnacentral:rRNA from 1 species